rnacentral:rRNA from 1 species
GAUUAACGCUGGCGGCGUGCAUAACACAUGCAAGUCGAACGAUGAAACUUUAAUGAACCCUUCGGGGAGAAUUAAAGCGGAUUAGUGGCGAACGGGUGAGUAACGCGUGAGUAACCUGCCUUACACAAGGGGAUAGCCUUUGGAAACGAAGAAUAAUACCCUAUAAAACCAUAAAAGCACAUGCAAUUAUGGUCAAAGUGAUAGCGGUGUAAGAUGGACUUGCGUCUGAUUAGCUAGUUGGUGAGAUAAAAGCCCACCAAGGCAACGAUCAGUAGCCGGCUUGAGAGAGUGUACGGCCACAUUGGGACUGAGACACGGCCCAGACUCCUACGGGAGGCAGCAGUGGGGAAUUUUGCACAAUGGGGGAAACCCUGAUGCAGCGACGCCGCGUGAUUUAGAAGGCCUUCGGGUUGUAAAAAUCUUUUGUAUAGGAGGAAAAUGACAGUACUAUACGAAUAAGGUCCGGCUAUUACGUG